ensembl:lncRNA
UAUCCCGUCAGUCAAUAAUGGUUGAUAGGAGUAAUAUUAAUGCCAUCCACACUGCCAGUGUUCUUACAGCACACUGGCUAAAAGGAAGAAAUAGCCAGAACAAGCACAAUGUCUACAACCACAGGGACUUUAUAGUAAUUCAAAGGAGGAGUCUGUCAUUUCAUUUUCUCAUAUGGCCACUGGAUGAAAUGGACAAACAUUCAAGUCUCAUGCAAAACCACAAACCUAUUUCCAGUCCAUGAACACUCAGUCCUGAAGGAUCUAUACUAUUUAACCAGAUUUUUGGUGAAAGCCUUGUAAUAACUAAUUAACUGAGCCGCAACAAACCUGACACCUUAAAAAAGGGAUAUGCAAUACGAGAACAUAUGGUACUAGAUGUUACCUAGCAUUGAACAGGUAUUUUCCUAUGAUUAGAUACAAUUUCGAUUUGCCCAUCACUGGAUACGACCAUUUGCUUUAUAAUAUAGUUAUUAUUUUGGUUUGCCUGUAUAGAAUAGGCUGUUUUUACACUGUGUGUCUGAAUGCUAGAAAAAAAAAUCACAGCCUGCUAAACCAUCCCUUUCUCAUCAUAAUGUACACACACAAACAGUAAACGUGCCAUCUUUUCCUGCAUGGUUGAAACCAGAGCCAUUUAUACAGCAUGUGCCAUCUCUUUGUAAUUGACUUAACCCCGUGACCUAGCGGUCGUGACACCUGUGAUACUGAAUAUAGUACAGUUGUAGCAGACCCACGGUGCAGCGUGAUGUCAGCCCCACAUGCAUGACAUCACAACAACACAGGAACACAAAGCAGUGUUGUUACACUCAGGACCAAACAACUCCCAACAGCUGGACCUUUGGUUGUCAGACCUUCAUCAGAGCACACCCUCCAGACCACUACAAACACAACAGGUUAACUAUUCUCUGGUAAUAAGCGGCCCGUCCAUGGACACAAGGGCAUGAGGAACACAGGUUGGCUUCAAAACACAGAGGCUGUGGAUAUAUGGGUUACGGGUUGGGACCUGGAGGUGGCGUUGGGUCGAUACCAGGUGUGGAGCUGAGGGUGGUGUUGGGUCGAUACCAGGUGUGGAGCUGAGGGUGGUGUUGGGUCGAUACCAGGUGUGGAGAUGAGGGUGGUGUUGGGAAGGUACAGGGUGUGGAUCUGAGGGUGGUGUUGGGUAGGUAAAGGGGUGUGGAUCUGAGGGUGGUGUUGGGUCGAUACCAG